UACGGAGGGUGCAAGCGUUGCUCGGAAUCACUGGGCGUAAAGCGCACGUAGGCGGAUUGUUAAGUCAGGGGUGAAAUCCUGGAGCUCAACUCCAGAACUGCCUUUGAUACUGGCGAUCUUGAGUCCGGGAGAGGUGAGUGGAACUGCGAGUGUAGAGGUGAAAUUCGUAGAUAUUCGCAAGAACACCAGUGGCGAAGGCGGCUCACUGGCCCGGUACUGACGCUGAGGUGCGAAAGCGUGGGGAGCAAACAGG
rnacentral:rRNA from 1 species